GACGAAACGCUGGCGGCGUGCCUAAUACAUGCAAGUCGAGCGAGCCGAAUUCAAAAGAUUCCUUCGGGAUGAUUUGUUGGACGCUAGCGGCGGAUGGGUGAGUAACACGUGGGCAAUCUGCCCUAAAGACUGGGAUACCACUUGGAAACAGGUGCUAAUACCGGAUAACAACAUGAAUCGCAUGAUUCAAAGUUUGAAAAGGCGGCGUAAGCUGUCACUUUAGGAUGAGCCCGCGGCGCAUUAGCUAGUUGGUGGGGUAAAGGCCUACCAAGGCAAAUGAUGCGUAGCCGAGUUGAGAGACUGAUCGGCCACAUUGGGACUGAGACACGGCCCAAACUCCUACGGGAGGCAGCAGUAGGGAAAUCUUCCACAAUGACGCAAGUCUGAAUGGAGCAACGCCGCGUGAGUGAAGAAGGUUUUCGGAUCGUAAAGCUACUGUUGUGGUGAAGAAGGAUAGAGGCAAGUAACUGGUCUUUA
rnacentral:rRNA from 1 species